rnacentral:rRNA from 1 species
UAUGAAGGGGGCUAGCGUUGCUCGGAAUCACUGGGCGUAAAGGGUGCGUAGGCGGGUCUUUUAAGUCAGGGGUGAAAUCCUGGAGCUCAACUCCAGAACUGCCUUUGAUACUGAAGAUCUUGAGUUCGGGAGAGGUGAGUGGAACUGCGAGUGUAGAGGUGAAAUUCGUAGAUAUUCGCAAGAACACCAGUGGCGAAGGCGGCUCACUGGCCCGAUACUGACGCUGAGGUGCGAAAGCGUGGGGAGCAAACAGGG